CCAGGUCUGUCUAUAUGUCUCACUGACUUGAAAACUAGCACUGGAUGGUGCUGUGCUUAAAUGAAGUCUUGUAAAUGUGUCUUGUAAAUAAUAACACUUUUAAUCUUACUUGUUUUGUUAGGGAAUAGUAGAGAAUGACAGAAUGUUGAAAUUUAUUAAAUGGAAAUUGACAUUUUUAGUUAAAGAAAACGUGAUUGGGGUUUUGGUGGGGUCUCGAAUGAGUUGAAAGUUCUAAUUACAAGAAUCAUCGACUAGAAAAAUAAUUCGAGAAAAAUUCUCAGAAAAAAAUAUCACAUGCUUGAAGUCAUCCCCCAUAGGCCAUAGUAAAACUACAAUAGUAUUUUAAUUUUCGAACAAUUUAGUUUGAUUCGAAAUAAAAAAUACACACACAUGUACAGUAAUUUUUUCUGCUUGAAUGAUUAUUGUUUUUCUGCUUGAAUGAUUAUUUAUAUCCCAUAUUACGUUUACAGAACACAACUACCAGAACGCUUUUCGAAUAUCCAAUGCAACUAUGAUCUUUUGCCUAAAACUGUCGCAUGCAACCCACUUACAACUUGAGUUGUACUGUGUAAAUCAAGCACACAACUCACAUACGUUGUAUGUGAAUUGUGUGUUUGAUUUAAUACACACUACAACUCAAGUUGUAAGCCGGUUGCAUGCGACAGUUUUAGGCAAAAGUUGUGUAGUGCAUAUAAAUUGGAUUAAAUAAUCUGAAACACAGUUGCUGCAUUUUUCGGGACGCCCUUCAUUGUGAUUGUGUUCGGUAAGUAUAAUAAGGGGAAGCAGCUUCGUACAGUACCGCUCAAGAAUAACCUACAGAAC
rnacentral:lncRNA from 1 species